GAUGAACGCUGGCGGCGUGCCUAAUACAUGCAAGUCGAGCGAACAGACGAGGAGCUUGCUCCUCUGACGUUAGCGGCGGACGGGUGAGUAACACGUGGAUAACCUACCUAUAAGACUGGGAUAACUUCGGGAAACCGGAGCUAAUACCGGAUAAUAUAUUGAACCGCAUGGUUCAAUAGUGAAAGACGGUUUUGCUGUCACUUAUAGAUGGAUCCGCGCCGCAUUAGCUAGUUGGUAAGGUAACGGCUUACCAAGGCAACAAUGCGUAGCCGACCUGAGAGGGAGAUCGGCCACACUGGAACUGAGACACGGUCCAGACUCCUACGGGAGGCAGCAGUAGGGAAUCUUCCGCAAUGGGCGAAAGCCUGACGGAGCAACGCCGCGUGAGUGAUGAAGGUCUUCGGAUCGUAAAACUCUGUUAUUAGGGAAGAACAAAUGUGUAAGUAACUAUGCACGUCUUGACGGUACCUAAUCAGAAAGCCACGGCUAACUACGUG
rnacentral:rRNA from 1 species